AGAUGUGGAAGCCAAGACCAAGGAGAAACCAAUUGAAUCCUGCCCUGAAGUUGCUUUAUGUUCUGGAUUUGGAGAGCAUGGGGCAAGACAAAGUAGGUGUUUUGCCUGUGUAUAUGUCUGCGCACCACUUGAGUGGUUGGUGCUGGCGGAGACCAAAAGAGGCCAUGGAGCCAGAAGAGAGCAUGGAUCCCCUAGAACUGGAAUUACAGACGGUUGUGGUUUGCCAAGUGGGUGCUGGGAAUGCAACCCAAGCCCUUUGGAAAAAUAACCAGUUCUCUGAACCACUGAGCAAUCUCUCCAGCCCCUCUUUAUUUUAUAAUUACAUGUCUGUGUCUGUGUCUGUGUCUGUGUCUGCUUGUGGGUAUGUGCAGAUGAGUGCAGUUGCCUCAGAGGUCAGAAAAGGGCACUGGAUCCUCUGGUGCUGGUGUUACACGCAGUUGUCAGCCCCUGCCAUGGGUGCUAGGAAGCAAACUCAGAUCUUCAGCAAGAACAAGUGUUAACCACUGG
rnacentral:lncRNA from 1 species